rnacentral:rRNA from 1 species
UACGGAGGAUGCAAGCGUUAUCCGGAAUGAUUGGGCGUAAAGCGUCCGCAGGUGGCUAUGUAAGUCUGCUGUUAAAGAGCAAAGCUUAACUUUGUAAAAGCAGUGGAAACUACAUAGCUAGAGUGCGUUCGGGGCAGAGGGAAUUCCUGGCGUAGCGGUGAAAUGCGUAGAGAUCAGGAAGAACACCGGUGGCGAAGGCGGCGACCUGGACAGUUACUGACACUCAACUACGAAAGCGUGGGGAGCAAACAGG